rnacentral:rRNA from 1 species
AAAACGGGUGGUAAUGCCGGAUGCUCCGACUCCUCGCAUGGGGUGUCGGGAAAGAUUUCAUCGGUAUGGGAUGGGGUCGCGUCCUAUCAGGUAGUCGGCGGGGUAACGGCCCACCGAGCCUACGACGGGUAGCCGGCCUGAGAGGGCGACCGGCCACAUUGGGACUGAGAUACGGCCCAGACUCCUACGGGAGGCAGCAGUGGGGAAUAUUGCACAAUGGGCGCAAGCCUGAUGCAGCGACGCCGCGUGCGGGAUGACGGCCUUCGGGUUGUAAACCGCUUUUGAUCGGGAGCAAGCCUUCGGGUGAGUGUACCUUUCGAAUAAGCACCGGCUAACUACGUGCCAGCAGCCGCGGUAAUACGUAGGGUGCAAGCGUUAUCCGGAAUUAUUGGGCGUAAAGGGCUCGUAGGCGGUUCGUCGCGUCCGGUGUGAAAGUCCAUCGCUUAACGGUGGAUCUGCGCCGGGUACGGGCGGGCUGGAGUGCGGUAGGGGAGACUGGAAUUCCCGGUGUAACGGUGGAAUGUGUAGAUAUCG